CCCUUAGAUGUUCUGGGCUGCACGCGCGCUACACUGACAUGUCCAGCGAGCUCCCAACCUGCUCGGCAAAGAAUGGGUACCCUUUUUAACGCAUGUCGUGAUGGGGAUAGAUUAUUGCAAUUGUUGAUCUUGAACGAGGAAUUCCUAGUAAGUGCAAGUCAUUAGCUUGUGCUGAAUACGUCCCUGCCCUUUGUACACACCGCCCGUCGCUCCUACCGAUUGAGUGCUCCGGUGAAUGUUUUGGAUCGGCUUCAAGUUGGUUCGCGCCUCUUGCUUGCUGUGAAAUCAUGUAAACCUUAUUGCUUAGAGGAAGGAGAAGUCGUAACA
rnacentral:rRNA from 1 species